AUUAUCGUACAACAGAGGCACCCAGGGCUGUCGCUGGCCUUUACAGGUUGUGCACGCCCAAGGUGCUCUCAAAUCCAUCUCACCCCUUUGUGCAUCACCGCGCGGGGCCCCCAUUCGGGGGUCUUGCGUUUUUACAACAUACCCCACAUGUAUAGAAUGUCUUUGCGAUCACACGCAAUUAAUAUAACUUUCAACAACGGAUCUCUUGGCUCUCGCAUCGAUGAAGAACGCAGCGAAAUGCGAUACGUAAUGUGAAUUGCAGAAUUCAGUGAAUCAUCGAAUCUUUGAACGCACCUUGCGCCCCUUGGUAUUCCGAGGGGCACACCCGUUUGAGUGUCGUGAACACCCUCAACCUUCUUGGUUUCUUGACCAGGAAGGCUUGGACUUUGGAGGUUUUCCUUGCCGGCUUUUAUUUAGUUGGCUCCUCCUAAAUGAAUUAGUGGGAUUUGCUUUGCUGAUCCUUGACGUGAUAAGUAUGUUUCUACGUCUUGGUCUUCACAAUGUCACCUGCUUCAAACUGUCUUUAAACAAAAGACAAUGUUCGAGUUGCCUCGCGAGUCGUGGCUCGACCUCACCAACCUUGACCUCAAAUCGGGUGAGACUACCCGCUGAACUUAAGCAUAUCAAUAAGCGGAGGAAAAGAAACUAACAAGGAUUCCCCUAGUAACUGCGAGUGAAGCGGGAAAAGCUCAAAUUUAAAAUCUGGUGGUCUUUGACCAUCCGAGUUGUAAUUUAGAGAAG
rnacentral:rRNA from 1 species